rnacentral:rRNA from 1 species
AAACCAGCACCUCAAGUGGUCAGGAUGAUUAUUGGGCCUAAAGCAUCCGUAGCCGGCUCUGUAAGUUUUCGGUCAAAUCUGUACGCUCAACGUACAGGCUGCCGGGAAUACUGCAGAGCUAGGGAGUGGGAGAGGUAGACGGUACUCGGGAGGAAGGGGUAAAAUCCUUUGAUCUCUCGAUGACCACCUGUGGCGAAGGCGGUCUACCAGAACACGUCCGACGGUGAGGGAUGAAAGCUGGGGGAGCAAACCGGAUUAGAAACCCGUGUAGUCC